rnacentral:sRNA from 2 species
CAGCAUUUGAAAUCCGCAGUUUACAGAGAAAGUGGUGAAACGAUAACGAAUAUUAUCAGCGCUAUCAAUUGAAUUCCCAGCCUCAACAAUCAUAAAUUCCCCUCACGCUAUCCAGAGUCUUUGGAUUAUUAUGGUAACCAAGGCGCACCUUGACCUAUUAGCGCUGCAUUAGGCUGUUUUUCAGGCCGGCGAAGAUACAAGUUGACUGGAAUUAUUUAACAUGUCAAUUAUAUGCUGUGCCAUCGCCAUGAGCAAUUGGUGAAGCUGCAUAUCAUCAUAAUUUCGUUGGGAGAAACCAUGCGGUGUUUUAAUUCCAAAUCGAGUUUCGGAGGUAUUUCAGUUUACUGAAUGUUUGAUUGUUGGUGAUUGAUCUUACCUCCGUGGGAGUGGAUCGACCCUGUCGGCCUUCAAAGCACCCUGGGUGUGGCUGCCCAGUAUAUUUUUGUCAUCGAAGCGGGAUGUCAACGCAGA